rnacentral:rRNA from 1 species
UGGCGACCGGCGCACGGGUGCGUAACGCGUAUGCAACCUACCUGUAACGGGGGGAUAACACUGAGAAAUCGGUACUAAUACCGCAUAACACUAUGAGAGGCAUCUCUUGUGGUUGAAAGUUUCGGCGGUUACAGAUGGGCAUGCGUUGUAUUAGCUGGUUGGUAAGGUAACGGCUUACCAAGGCGACGAUACAUAGGGGGACUGAGAGGUUAACCCCCCACAUUGGUACUGAGACACGGACCAAACUCCUACGGGAGGCAGCAG